CCUACGGGAGGCAGCAGUGAGGAAUAUUGGUCAAUGGGCGCUAGCCUGAACCAGCCAAGUAGCGUGAAGGAUGACUGCCCUCUGGGUUGUAAACUUCUUUUAUAUGGGAAUAAAGUGCAGUAUGUAUACUGUAUUGCAUGUACCUUAUGAAUAAGGAUCGGCUAACUCCGUGCCAGCAGCCGCGGUAAUACGGAGGAUCCGUGCGUUAUCCGGAUUUAUUGGGUGUAAAGGGAGCGUAGGCGGGUUGUUAAGUCAGUUGUGAAAGUUUGCGGCUCAACCGUAGAACUGCAGUUGAAACUGGUGUUCUUGAGUACGGGAGAGGUAGGCGGAAUUCGUGGUGUAGCGGUGAAAUGCGUAGAUAUCACGAAGAACUCCGAUUGCGAAGGCAGUCUGCUGGAGCGGAACUGACGCUGAGGCGCGAAAGCGUGGGUAUCGAACAGGAUUAGAUACCCGAGUAGUC
rnacentral:rRNA from 1 species